AGGUGGCUCAGUGGUUAAGAGCGUUGGAUGCUCUUCAGAGGAUCUGGGUUCGAUCCCCAGUACCUA
rnacentral:tRNA from 1 species